GGGGGAGGGGACACGGCCCAGCCCCGGCGCCCCGGAGGCGGCCGGGCGGGCGGCAGCUCCGCGCGGCGGUACCUGCGCUGGAAGUCGGUCCGGAAGGGCGCCAGCGUGUCAGCUGCCGGGUGAACUCUGUGUUCCCACACACACAAAGCCGGCUGCACGUCCCAGCCAACAUCAUCAACAACCCCCCAAAGCAGAUUUGGCAUCAUCUGUUCCUCUAAGUCCUGAGCUUAGCAGUCUUCCUGAUGCAGACAAGAGAUGCUUUAUAAGUCAUCACAAGAGGCCUUCAAAAGAAGAAUAGUGAUGUUUAUUUUGGGGAAUUCUAAUUCUUCAGCUUUGGCUGUCUCCUCAGCAACUCCUGUGUUGUCAUCUGAUUCAACACAUGCUCAAGGAACACUUACAAAAGGAGAUGAGUCAUCUCCUAAAUCUGGACCAUCAUCCUCUGAACACAAAAACCUUCCUCUGCAGGACUUAAGGGCAAGUAUUAACUGGGUCAUUUUGCAUAGGAUGAUUUAGCUUCUCUUACUUUAAAUUACUUGUGUGUCUAACUGAAAAGCACAUAAUUUAGCUGUAUCCACCAAAAUUUUCUUUGUGUCACUUGUGUUACAUAGUGCCAAAUACUUAUUUACCUUUUUACUUCUGUGUUCUAUUUCCUUUUUUUUAAUUGUCAUUUCAAAAUAGACUGACAUCUUCACUGGAUUGUUUUUUGUACAUACAUGUAAUUUCUGUGAACUGUGGCUACAUUGCUGUCAUUCAGGAACCUUUGAGUCUCAAGGAACAUAACCUCCUGUAUAAUCAAAUUGUUAUUCCAGUUAUUCAUAACAUUAAAAGAUGAUCACUGUAAAUAUCAAUCUGACUUAAGUCAUCUGAUAUACUUAGCAUUUAAAAGGGCUGAUGAAUGAGGGCAUGUAUCAGACACCCUAAAAGUGAGGAAAAAGCAAGAUUAAGUGUUUAUAGCUUAUUAUUUUCUUAGCACUAUAAAAUAGCAUACACAUUCUUUGCAUUUUUAAAUGGAUGGACUUGUUUCCAGUCUUUUCUCUGUGCUUUCCAAAAAUGUGUGCUCUGGUAGUUUGAAACCACUCUAGCACUACUACUAGUGAUUAAUACUAGGAUUUUUUUGGGUUUAUAUCCAAGCUGCUGGGUUACUUGCAGCUCUGAAUAAGAUUUACAUGAAGACUUGUGAAGAGCUCUGUAUCUGAGUUGUAGUACAUUGCUCAAAAUAAAGUUUUUCACCUGACUUCUUCGGUAUAAUUCUUUUCCUGUUUUAGGAAUUUUCAUGCUAGCUCUGUUUUUACAAAUACUGUCUUUAUUAAAUUUAUAAUAUCCCAAAGUAACACUUUCUGCUUUAGGUUUAUUUUCUUGAUUUAUUUGCUAGCAUGUUUAUCUUAUCCCUCUCUCUUGCCUAGUUCUUUUUUGAUUUAACCUUGAUUUUUUUCCCUUUGU